rnacentral:rRNA from 1 species
AUGAACGCUGGCGGCGUGCCUAAUACAUGCCAGUCGAGCGAACAGACGAGGAGCUUGCUCCUCUGACGUUAGCGGCGGACGGGUGAGUAACACUUGGAUAACCUACCUAUAAGACUGGGAUAACUUCGGGAAACCGGAGCUAAUACCGGAUAAUAUAUUGAACCGCAUGGUUCAAUAGUGAAAGACGGUUUUGCUGUCACUUAUAGAUGGAUCCGCGCCUCAUUAGCUAGUUGGUAAGGUAACGGCUUACAAAGGCAACGAUGCGUAUCCGACCUGAGAGGGUGAAUGGCCACACUGGAACAGAGACAGGGACGAGACACCUACGGGAGGACGCAGUAGGGAAUCUUACGGAAUGGAGGAAAGCGUGACGGAACAACGCCGCGUGAGUGAUGAAGGUCUUAGGAUCGUAAAACUCUGUUAUCAGGGAAGAACAAAUGUGUAAGUAACUAUGCACGUAUUGACGGUACCUAAUCAGAAAGCCACGGCUAACUACGUG